rnacentral:ncRNA from 1 species
UUGAGCCGGGUGCGGAGUGAUCCGCACGCCCGGUUCUUAGGGGGCGGCGGGGCAGCAAUGCCCCGCUGCUACCCGAC